AGCGAACGCUGGCGGCAGGCUUAACACAUGCAAGUCGAGCGCCGUAGCAAUACGGAGCGGCAGACGGGUGAGUAACACGUGGGAACGUACCUUUUGGUUCGGAACAACUGAGGGAAACUUCAGCUAAUACCGGAUAAGCCCUUACGGGGAAAGAUUUAUCGCCGAAAGAUCGGCCCGCGUCUGAUUAGCUAGUUGGUGAGGUAAUGGCUCACCAAGGCGACGAUCAGUAGCUGGUCUGAGAGGAUGAUCAGCCACACUGGGACUGAGACACGGCCCAGACUCCUACGGGAGGCAGCAGUGGGGAAUAUUGGACAAUGGGCGCAAGCCUGAUCCAGCCAUGCCGCGUGAGUGAUGAAGGCCCUAGGGUUGUAAAGCUCUUUUGUGCGGGAAGAUAAUGACUGUACCGCAAGAAUAAGCCCCGGCUAGCUUCGUGCCAGCCGCCGCUGUAAUAC
rnacentral:rRNA from 1 species